ensembl:lncRNA
AUGUGCUGCAAAUACUCACAACAAGACAAAAUACAGAAAUGCGCUUCAAAUACUCACAAUGCGACAAAAUACAGAAACACACUGCAAAUAUUUACAAAACAAUUAAAUACAGAAACACGCUGCAAAUACUCACGACACAGACAAAAACACGCUGCAAAUACUCACGACACAACCGAACACAGAGACACGCUGCGAAUACUCACGACACAACAAAACACAGAGACACGCUGCAAAUACUCACGACACAACCAGACACAGAGACACGCUGCAAAUACUCACGACACAGACAAACACAGAGACACGCUGCAAAUACUCACGACACAACCAGACACAGAGACACGCUGCAAAUACUCACGACGCAGCCAAACACAGAGACACGCUGCAAAGACUCACGACACAACCAAACACAGAGAAACGCUGCAAAUACUCACGACACAGACAAACACAGAGAGACGCUACAAAUACUCACGACACAGACAAAAACACGCUGCAAAUACUCACGACACGACCAAACACAGAGACACGCUGCAAAUACUCAUGACACAAUCAAACACAGAGACACGCUGCAAAUACUCACGACACAACAGAACACAGAGACACGCUGCAAAUACUCACGACACUGACAAAAACACACUUCAAAUACUCACGACACAAACAAACACAGAGACAUGGUGCAAAUACUCACGACACAACCAAACACAGAGAGACGCUGCAAAUACUCACGACACAGACAAACACAGAGACACGCUACAAAUACUCACGACACAGACAAAAACACGCUGCAAAUACUCACGACACAACCAAACACAGAGACAGGCUGCAAAUACUCACGACACAGCCAAAUACAUAAACACGCUGCAAAUACUCAUGACACAACCAAACACAGAGACACGCUGCAAAUACUCACCACACAACCAAACACAGAGACAGGCUGCAAAUACUCACGACACAGACAAACCCAGAGACACGCUGCAAAUACUCACGACACAACCAAACACAGAGACAUGCUGCAAAUACUCUAAAAGGUGA